UUCCUGAUAGCUCAGUUGGGUAGAGUGUGCUGCUGAUAAUGCCAAGGUCACAGGUUCAAUCCCUGUUUGGGACA